rnacentral:rRNA from 1 species
AGAGUUUGAUCCUGGCUCAGGAUGAACGCUAGCUACAGGCUUAACACAUGCAAGUCGUGGGGCAGCAUGAUCAAAGCUUGCUUUGAUUGAUGGCGACCGGCGCACGGGUGAGUAACGCGUAUCCAACCUUCCCCUUAGUAGGGCAUAGCCCGUAGAAAUGCGGAUUAAUACCCUAUGUUGUUCGUAGAGGACAUCUGAAAUGAACCAAAGGUUUACCGCUAAGGGAUGGGGAUGCGUCUGAUUAGGUAGUCGGCGGGGUAACGGCCCACCGAGCCAUCGAUCAGUAGGGGUUCUGAGAGGAAGGUCCCCCACAUUGGAACUGAGACACGGUCCAAACUCCUACGGGAGGCAGCAGUGAGGAAUAUUGGUCAAUGGGCGUAAGCCUGAACCAGCCAAGUAGCGUGCAGGAUGACGGCCCUAUGGGUUGUAAACUGCUUUUAUACGGGGAUAAAGUGUGCCACGCGUGGCAUAUUGCAGGUACCGUAUGAAUAAGGACCGGCUAAUUCCGUGCCAGCAGCCGCGGUAAUACGGAAGGUCCGGGCGUUAUCCGGAUUUAUUGGGUUUAAAGGGAGCGCAGGCGGGCUUUUAAGCGUGACGUGAAAUGUAGUCGCUCAACGGCUGAACUGCGUCGCGAACUGGGGGCCUUGAGUGCAUUCGACGUCAGCGGAAUUCGUGGUGUAGCGGUGAAAUGCUUAGAUAUCACGAAGAACUCCGAUUGCGAAGGCAGCUGACGAGACUGUAACUGACGCUAAAGCUCGAAGGUGCGGGUAUCGAACAGGAUUAGAUACCCUGGUAGUCCGCACGGUAAACGAUGGAUGCCCGCUGUCGGCGACACACUGUCGGCGGCCAAGCGAAAGCGUUAAGCAUCCCACCUGGGGAGUACGCCGGCAACGGUGAAACUCAAAGGAAUUGACGGGGGCCCGCACAAGCGGAGGAACAUGUGGUUUAAUUCGAUGAUACGCGAGGAACCUUACCCGGGCUUGAACUGCCGGCGAACGAUUCAAAGAUGAUGAGGUCCUUCGGGA